rnacentral:misc_RNA from 1 species
UACGUAGGGGGCUAGCGUUGUCCGGAAUCAUUGGGCGUAAAGCGCGUGUAGGCGGCCGGGUAGGUCCGGUGUGAAAACUCGAGGCUCAACCUCGAGAUGUCAUCGGAAACCAUCCGGCUAGAGUCCGGAAGAGGAGAGUGGAAUUCCUGGUGUAGCGGUGAAAUGCGCAGAUAUCAGGAAGAACACCAAUGGCGAAGGCAGCUCUCUGGGACGGUACUGACGCUGAGACGCGAAAGCGUGGGGAGCGAACAGG